rnacentral:rRNA from 1 species
UGGGGAAUCUUGCGCAAUGGGCGAAAGCCUGAAGCAGCGACGCCGCGUGAGUGAUGAAGGCCUUCGGGUUGUAAAGCUCUGUGGGGAGAGACGAAUAAGUGCAAGCUAAUACCUUGCAUGAUGACGGUAUCUCCUUAGCAAGCCCCGGCUAACUCUGUGCCAGCAGCCGCGGUAAGACCGAGGGUGCAAACGUUGUUCGGAAUUAAUGGGCGUAAAGCGAGUGUAGGCGGUUUCCUAAGUCAGGUGUGAAAGCCCCGGGCUCAAGCCGGGAAGUGCACUUGAAACUGGGAGUCUAGAGUACUGGAGAGGGUGGUGGAAUUCUCGGUGUAGAGGUGAAAUUCGUAGAUAUCGAGAGGCACACCGGUGGCGAAGGCGGCCAACUGGACAGAUACUGACGCUGAGACUCGAAAGCGUGGGGAGCAAA